GAUGAACGCUGGCGGCGUGCCUAAUACAUGCAAGUCGAGCGAACAGAUGAGGAGCUUGCUCCUCUGACGUUAGCGGCGGACGGGUGAGUAACACGUGGAUAACCUACCUAUAAGACUGGGAUAACUUCGGGAAACCGGAGCUAAUACCGGAUAAUAUAUUGAACCGCAUGGUUCAAUAGUGAAAGACGGUUUUGCUGUCACUUAUAGAUGGAUCCGCGCCGCAUUAGCUAGUUGGUAAGGUAACGGCUUACCAAGGCAACGAUGCGUAGCCGACCUGAGAGCGGGGUAGGCCACAUGGGAGCUGAGACGGGGACAUGGCGCCUGCGGGAGGGAGCAGUAUGGAAUGUUAGGAAAGGGGCGAAAGCCUGACAGAGUAACGCGGCGUGAAUGAUGAAAGUUUUGGGAUCGUAAAACCGUGUUAUGAGUGAAGAACAAAUGUGUAAGUAACUAUGCAGGUCGUGACGGUACCGGGUCAGAAAGCCACGGCUAACUACGUG
rnacentral:rRNA from 1 species